rnacentral:rRNA from 1 species
UGGGGGAGUAUUGCACAAUGGGGGAAACCCUGAUGCAGCGACGCCGCGUGGGCGAAGAAGUAUUUCGGUAUGUAAAGCCCUAUCAGCAGGGAAGAAGAAAUGACGGUACCUGAGUAAGAAGCACCGGCUAAAUACGUGCC